GCCGGGGCUCCCCGCCGCCCCCGGCCCCGUUUCUUCCUCCUCAGGGCCUGCCCUUAACCGGGGCAAGCCCAGACCGGAGUCUAUCAAGUGUUUGCGGGGUCCGUUGACAAAGGUGCUCGUGGAAGACCAGAAGAGGUAGCAGAACCCCCUGGAUCUAAAGUUACAGGUUCUUCAUAACAAAGCCAACUCCUAGCUACCCAUCCUUCAAACUCUUGAGCCUACAAGUGACAUUUCACAGUCAAGUCAAGUCAACCACGACAAGUCCUACAAUGUCACUAAAUAACCAUAGAGAAGUGGUUAUCUGUGUAACUGGUUCUUAGUCAAUAGCACUGUGUAUUGGCUUACAAACAGGUAAGAAUUGUGUUCAUGGGCUGGAGAAUGGCUGAGCAGUUAAGAACAUUUGUUUCAGAAAACCAGACACACUAAAUCUACUAGAAGAAAAAGGGGGGGAAGAAUCUUGAACUCAUUGGCAUGGGAGACAACUUCCUGAACAGAACACCAACAGCUCAGGCUCUAAGAUCUACAAUUAAUAAAUGGGACCUCUUAAAACUGAAAAGCUUCCGUAAAGCAAAGGACACUGUCAUUAGAACAGCCUACAGAUUAGGAUCUUCACCAACCCUACAUCUGACAGAGGGCUAAUAUAUGAAAUAUAUAUAUAUAUAUACUCAAGAAACUAAACUUUAUCAAACCAAAUAAUCCAAUUAAAAAUGGGGUACAGAACUAAACAGAGAAUUCUCAACAGAUGAAUAUUGAGCAGCAGAAGAACAUUUAAAAAACUGUUCAAUGUCCUUGUCAUCAGUGAAAUGCAAAUCAAAAAACAACUCUGAGAUUCCAUCUUACACCCAUCAGAACAGCUGAGGUCAAAAACUCAAGUGACAGCACAUGCUGGAGCGGAUGUGGAGAAAGGGGAACACUCCUCCAUUGCUGGUAGGAGUGCAAAUUUGUACAAACACUUUGGAAAUGAAUCUGGCCUUUUUUCAGACAAUUGGGAAUAGUGCUUCCUCAAGAACCAGCCAUACUACUUCUGGACAUAUACCCAAAAUAUGUUCCACAUACAACAAGGUCAUUUGCUUAACUGUGUUCGUGGCAGCUUUAUUCAUUAUGCCAGAAUCUGGAAACAACCUAGAUGUCCCUGAACUAAAGAAUGGAUACAGACACUGUGGUACAUUUAUACAAUGGAAUACUACUCAGGUAUUAAAAACAAGGAAAUCAUGAAAUUUGCAGGCAAAUGUAUGAAGUAGAAAAGAUUAUCCUGAGUGAGGUAUCACAGAACCAGAAAGACACGCAUGAUAUAUACUCAUUUAUAAGUGGAUAUUAGCCAUAUAAUACAAGAUGGCCAUACUGCAAUCUACAGACCUUAAAAAGCUAAAUAACAAGGAGCACCCUAGGGAGGAUGCUUAAGUCUCAUUCAGCAGGGGACACUGAGCUGCCUAUGGGCUACCUCUGAGCAGGGGGUCUAGGUCCUCUCCAUGCAUGGUCCUUGGUGGUUGCAUCAGUCUCUGUAGGUCCCCCUGGGCCCAGAUUUGUUGGCUCUGUUGGUCUCCUUGUGUGUUGGUCUUCUGUACCCCCACUCUUUCCCACAACUCUCUGUGUUCUGUCCAAAGUUUGGCCAUGAAUCGUACCAUCUCCUUCCAACCCCUGCUGGGUGGAGUCUUUCAGAGGACAUCGAUAGUAGGCUCCCAUCCUGUUCCCUCUCUUCAGCCGCUUCAGGUGUCUAUUUGCCCUGCUGAAGGGGAGCAGGGGCUGUCUCUUACAUGGACUCUAUUGCCUCCUCUUUGAUCACUUGCCCCUGGUGGGAGUGGGGAGCUUGCCAGGCCACAGAGGAAGAGGAUGCACGAAGUCCGAAUGAGACUUGAUAGACUGGGGUCAGCUGGUAGGGGAGAAGGACUCCCCCU